CCUACGGGAGGCAGCAGUGGGGAAUUUUGUGCAAUGGGGGAAACCCUGACACAGCGACACCGCGUGAGCGAAGAAGCCCUUUGGGGUGUAAAGCUCUGUCAACGGGAACGAAAAAAACUGACGGUACCCGUGGAGGAAGCAUCGGCUAACUACGUGCCAGCAGCCGCGGUAAGACGUAGGAUGCAAGCGUUGUCCGGAUUUAUUGGGCGUAAAGAGUUCGUAGGCUGUUUGUUAAGUCUGAUGUUAAAGACUGGGGCUCAACCUCGGAAAUGCAUUGGAUACUGGCAGACUGGAGUGCAGUAGAGGCUAGUGGAAUUCCCAGUGUAGCGGUGAAAUGCGUAGAUAUUGGGAAGAACACCGGUGGCGUAGGCGACUAGCUGGGCUGUAACUGACGCUGAGGAACGAAAGCCAGGGGAGCGAAUGGGAUUAGAUACCCCAGUAGUCCUGGCCGUAAACGAUGGAUACUAGGCGUAGUGGGUAUCGACCCCUGCUGUGCCGCAGCUACGCGAUAAGUACUCCGUCCGUCGAGUAGUACGGCCGCGAGGUUAGUAAACGUUAAACGGUAAGUUAGUACGGCGUGAGACGUGCCGACGGACGACGACGAGGGAGGUAG
rnacentral:rRNA from 1 species